rnacentral:rRNA from 1 species
UACGUAGGGCGCAAGCGUUAUCCGGAAUUAUUAGGCGUAAAGAGCUCGUAGGCGGUUUGUCGCGUCUGCCGUGAAAGUCCGGGGCUCAACUCCGGAUCUGCGGUGGGUACGGGCAGACUAGAGUGAUGUAGGGGAGACUGGAAUUCCUGGUGUAGCGGUGAAAUGCGCAGAUAUCAGGAGGAACACCGAUGGCGAAGGCAGGUCUCUGGGCAUUAACUGACGCUGAGGAGCGAAAGCAUGGGGAGCGAAUAGG